CCUACGGGAGGCUGCAGUGAGGAAUAUUGGUCAAUGGCCGGGAGGCUGAACCAGCCAAGUCGCGUGAGGGAAGACGGCCCUACGGGUUGUAAACCUCUUUUGUCAGGGAGCAAGGUGCAGGUCGGGACCUGCUGUGAGAGUACCUGAAGAAAAAGCAUCGGCUAACUCCGUGCCAGCAGCCGCGGUAAUACGGAGGAUGCGGGCGUUAUCCGGAUUUAUUGGGUUAAAGGGGUGCGCAGGCGGAGGCACAAGUCAGCGGUAAAAUCGCGGGGCUCAACCCGGCUCCGCCGUUGAAACUGUGUGCCUUGAGUGCGCGAAGGGUAGGCGGAAUGCGUGGUGUAGCGGUGAAAUGCGUAGAUAUCACGAAGAACUCCGAUCGCGAAGGCAGCCUACCGGCGCGCAACUGACGCUCAUGCACGAAAGCGUGGGUAUCGAACAGGAUUAGAUACCCUUGUAGUC
rnacentral:rRNA from 1 species